UGGCCAUGCAUUUCAUAGUCCUACUUAAUCAAGAGGCCUAUGGAUAUCACCCCUAAUAUAUAGGAGGGUUAAAUUCCAUCUAGAUCACUCAUAUUCCUCACACGAUUCAUGAUGUACCCAAUAAUCAUAUUUAUAGUCCACCCUAUUAAAGGUGACAUUUGAUAAUAUCCAAGUACAUAAAUUCACGUGUAGUAAUAUAGUGAUUUCAGGUCGGAGGACCAUUACAUCAUUGUCACUAUGAGAAUCGCU
rnacentral:lncRNA from 1 species